rnacentral:rRNA from 1 species
GAUGAACGCUGACAGAAUGCUUGACACAUGCAAGUCGAUGGGGAAGUGGUGCUUGCACCAUGGUAACCAUGGCGGACGGGUGAGUAACGCGUAAGGAACUUGCCUGCGGGACUGGGAUAACAGCAGGAAACUGCUGAUAAUACCGGAUAAGGUCAUUAAGCUGCAUAGCUUAGUGAUGAAAGGAGACGCCUGCGGAGAGCCUUGCGUCCUAUUAGCUAGUUGGAGGGGUAACGGCCCACCAAGGCGAAGAUAGGUAGCCGGCCUGAGAGGGUGGACGGCCACAAGGGGACUGAGAUACGGCCCUUACUCCUACGGGAGGCGGCAGUGGGGAAUAUUGGACAAUGGGGGCAACCCUGAUCCAGCAAUUCUGUGUGCACGAAGACGGUUUUCGGAUUGUAAAGUGCUUUCAGCAGGGAAGAAGGAAGUGACGGUACCUGCAGAAGAAGCGACGGCUAAAUACGUG